AGCUAAUAGAUACCCCGGUAGUCCACGCCCUAAACGAUGUCUACUAGUUGUUGGUGGAGUAAAAUCCAUGAGUAAACGCAGCUAAACGCGUGAAGUAGACCGCCUGGGGAGUACGGUCGCAAGAUUAAAAACUCAAAGGAAUUGACGGGGGCCCGCACAAGCGGUGGAUUAUGUGGAUUAAAUUCGAUGCAACGCGAAAAACCCUUACCUGGCCUUGACAUGCCACUAACGAAGCAGAGAUGCAUUAGGUGCCCGUAAGGGAAAGUGGACACAGGUGCUGCAUGGCUGUCGUCAGCUCGUGUCGUGAGAUGUUGGGUUAAGUCCCGCAACGAGCGCAACCCUUGCCAUUAAUUGCCAUCAUUUAGUUGGGCACUUUAAUGGGACUGCCGGUGACAAACCGGAGGAAGGUGGGGAUGACGUCAAGUCCUCAUGGCCCUUAUGGCCAGGGCUUCACACGUAAUACAAUGGUCGGUACAGAGAGUUGCCAACCCGCGAGGGGUAGCUAAUCUCAGAAACGCCGAUCGUAGUCCGGAUUGUUCUCUGC
rnacentral:rRNA from 1 species